CAAACAAACAAAUAAAUAAAUAAAUAAAAAUAAAACGCUCUUCCUUCUGCUAGGUGAUUGUAGAGCAGAUCGUUGAGUCUCAUCCGGACGGCCUGAAGAUCAUGUAUGCUAAUAAGCUCCUGAAGUUCAUUCCUCACCACUGCCACCUUCUUUGAGAGGUCACAGGAGGAGCCAUCUCAAGGAUGGUGGAGGGGUACGUGGCUGAGUACCUCCCUGGUCUGACCCUGUGUGACGCCACCCGGUGCUUGCAGCUGCCCUCUGGAAGGUGUUGCUUUAGCGGCAGAGCCAGAGGGCACCAAGCAUGUGUCUGUCUCCAAAGUCCUGGGCACCACAUCACAAUGCCUUCCUGAGAAGCAGAAUCAAGGACAGUUGCUGAUCUUCAUUCUUUCCCACCAAAGGAAAACUCUUCUUCGUUAUGCCUUGCCAGUCAGAGUGACGGUUUCAUCCGCAACCUGGACCAGGUUCGGGAAUAUUCUACACAUAAAUUUUCAGAUCCAGUUUUGACUAUUGUUAUGGGCUUAGUUGGAUGCCCCCAGAUUCCUACGUUGACGUCCUAACACCCAGCAUCUCAGAAUGUGGCAGUAUUCAGAGAUGGGAUUUUUAAAGAGGUGAUAAAGGGAAAACGAGCUCACUGGGGGUGGGCACCAAGCCAACAGGACUGGUGUGCUUACAGGAAGAGGAGAUUAAGACACAGACAAUACAGACUGAAGGACAAUCGUUUGAAGACAGAGUGGAGAACACAGCUAUCUGCAAGCCAAGGAGAGACGUUUGAAGAAUCGAACCCUAUUGCCACCUUGAUCUUGGACUUCCAGCGCCCAGAACCAUGAGAAAAUAAAUUGUAUGUUGCCUAAGCCA